rnacentral:rRNA from 1 species
CCCUUAGAUGUUCUGGGCCGCACACGCGCUACACUGAAGGAGGCAGCGUGUACUCCUGGAUCGAAAGAUUUGGGUAACCCGCGAAUCUCCUUCGUGCUGGGGAUUGAGGUUUGCAAUUAUCCUUCAUGAACGAGGAAUUCCCAGUAAGUGCAAGUCAUAAGCUUGCGCUGACUACGUCCCUGCCCUUUGUACACACCGCCCGUCGCUACUACCGAUUGAAUGAUUUAGUGAGGACUUCGGACUGGGACCGAUGCGGCUUUCGGGCUGCGUCGGUAUUCUGGAAAGAUGUCCAAACUGUAUCAUUUAGAGGAAGUAAAANUCGUANCA